rnacentral:tRNA from 1 species
GCAUUAGUAGCUCAGUAUAGAGCAUUGGUCUUGUAAACCAAAGGUCGGAGGCUUAAUCCCUCCCUACUGCU